rnacentral:rRNA from 1 species
AUACGUAGGAUCCGAGCGUUGUCCGGAUUUACUGGGCGUAAAGGGUGUGUAGGCGGUAUGGUAAGUCUCAUGUGAAAUCUCCCGGCUCAACUGGGAGGGGUCAUGAGAUACUGUCAAACUCGAGGGCAGCAGAGGAGAGCGGAAUUCCGGGAGUAGUGGUGAAAUGCGUAGAUACCCGGAGGAACACCCGUGGCGAAAGCGGCUCUCUGGGCUGUACCUGACGCUGAUACACGAAAGCGUGGGGAGCAAACCGGAUUAGAAACCCGAGUAGUCC